rnacentral:rRNA from 1 species
UACGAAGGGGGCUAGCGUUGCUCGGAAUGACUGGGCGUAAAGGGCGCGUAGGCGGUUUGUACAGUCAGAUGUGAAAUUCCUGGGCUUAACCUGGGGGCUGCAUUUGAUACGUGCAGACUUGAGUGAGGAAGAGGGUUGUGGAAUUCCCAGUGUAGAGGUGAAAUUCGUAGAUAUUGGGAAGAACACCGAUGGCGAAGGCGGCCCCCUGGGCCGAACCUGACGCUGAGGCGCGAAGGCUAGGGGAGCGAACGGG